GCUGGGACUUCCUCUAUCCAUGUUUCUAAGAGUAUAAAAUGGGCCAAACACUGUGUGUCUGCUGUUCUCCUACAGUGACUCUCCACAAGACAGAGUGGAGAAGAUCUCAUGAUCAUCUGAACAGCCGGUAGAGAAGAGCAGGGCAGAAUGGAGAUGACUGAGGGCAUCUAUCGACAUGUAGCCCCUGAUGAAGUCAACAGACCCUCUAUGGACAAACAUUAAGAAACAGACACUGGUGUCUUUCGGGUGUUGCUGGAGUCAGUCUGCUGUGGCCGGCCCCUGUUGGGCCUACCAGGCUCCAGUUCAUCCAACGGCAAGCUGUCGCAUGGGAGUAGCAGAUUUCGGUGGAGCACUCUUGUCUUCCCACCGCCUUCGGGCAUGACUUCAUAAACAGGGCUGCCAUCACUUCUCCUUUGCACCACCACAUGAACUCUAUCCUCCCAAUAGGACCUCAGCUUACCCGGGCCUCCUCUUUGAGACAGGUUCCGCACUAAAACUCCUCCCCCUGGCUGCAGAUCAGUUCCAUGAACUUUCCUGUCAUAGAAUAGCUUUCCUCUUGAAGUUCCCUUAGCAGCUGUUCUUGAAGCAAUCUCAUAUGCUUGGUGUAUUCUGGCCCGCCAGUUUUACUCUGAGUAACUCUCUUGUUUCUCAGGCGGUGUUAAAUUGAACAUUAAGUCGAUGGGCAGGCGUGAGGAACGACCAAAUAGCAGAUAGUAGGGAGAAAACCCUGUUGCCUCACUGCGUGUGCAAUUGUAUGCAUGCACCAUUUUCUCCAGGGAAUUCUUCCAGUCAGCUUUCUUUGUGUCAGUCAAGGUACGCAACAUGGACAGGAUGGUUUUAUUAAAACGUUCCGUCUUCCCAUUUCCAGCAGGAUGGUAACACGUUGUAUGAGAGACGCACAACAGACGCACUGAUGGCUUCUUGGCUGAUGUCUUCUGUGCACUGCUGCAUGAAAGUGUCUAUUUCUAAUGGCAUUCUUGAAAGGCCAUCAGCAUCAGCAUUGCAUCUGGCUGGGCGUCACUUAAUAGAGAAAUCAAAAUCUGCGAGCUGAGCAACCCAGCGAUGCCCUGUAGCAUUUAAUUUGGCUGUUGACAGUACAUAGGUCAAAGGAUUAUUGUCUGUAUACAGUGAAAUGUGGUGCAUGGUAUAAGUAAUCCCUAAAGCGCUCACAGACAGCCCAUUUGAGUGCUAAAAAUUCUAAUUUGCCAGAAUUUUCAGGUGCGGUCAGUGUCCGUGAGCCGUAUCCUAUGACAACCAUUUUCCUCUUCUGCCUCUGGUGAAGAAUGGCACCCAGUCCCUCUUGUGACGCAUCCAGAGGUGUAAAAAGUACUGAAAUGUUGUACUCAAGUAAAAGUACAAUUACUUUGAUGAAAUUUUACUUAAGUACAAGUAAAAUUACCCAUCUAAAAAUCUACUCAAGUAAAAGUAAAAAGUAGUUAAUUUAAAAUGUACUUUAAGUAAAAGUUACUUAGUUACUUUCAACAACUUGAUGGGGGCCGCUCCUAUAUAGUGCAAAAAAGGACAAGGGGUCAUAAAUCCAAUACAAAAACUAGUUAUUUUUUAUUAAAGGAGAAUCUUUAGAAAUAAAAGUGCAAUGACAUUAAACA
ensembl:lncRNA